rnacentral:tRNA from 1 species
CGGGGUGUAGCGCAGUUGGCUAGCGCGCCACGUUCGGGACGUGGAGGUCGUAAGUUCGAGUCUUAUCACCCCGA